rnacentral:tRNA from 1 species
AGAAAGUGGCAGAGUGGUUAUGUGGUUGACUUGAAAUCCUCAUAUGUGGGUUCAAUUCCCCCCUUUCUUG